rnacentral:lncRNA from 1 species
GGGGGGGGGGGGGGGGGGGGGGGGGGGGGGGGGGGGGGGGGGGGGGGGGGGGGGGGGGGGGGGGGGGGGGGGGGGGGGGGGGGGGGGGGGGGGGGAGCCGUGCCGCUGAGCCGUGCCACAGAGCCGUGCCACUGAGCCGUGAGCUGAGCCGUGCCACUGAGCCGUGCCACUGAGCCGUGCCACAGAGCCGUGAGCUGAGCCGUGCCACAGAGCCGUGCCACAGAGCCGUGCCACGGAGCCGUGAGCUGAGCCGUGUCACAGAGCCGUGCCACGGAGCCGUGCCACUGAGCCGUGCCACUGAGCCGUGCCACAUGCCGGUGUCGCCAGCCCGGGGACUCCCGGCGCUCUGAGAUCCUCGGGCGCUUCCAUCGCUGCCCGGUUCGGGCUGGGGAGCGACCGUGGCUUCAUUCUGCUCGGACCGUGCUUCUCCUUAUCCUCCGCCCCUGCAGGCGGGUGUUUGUGCGUUGGAACUGCAAACAGCAAGGACGUGGCAAUAAAUAGCCUGCUUCCAGCAGCUACCCCCGAGCCGUGUGGGAACCCGCCAGUCCACCGAGAGGCUGCUGCCACUGCCCUCUGCCUGUCCUGGCAGAGCCUCCUGCUCACACAGCAGCUGUGGGCUGCGCCACGUGGCCCUGUCUCAGCUUUCCACCAGGCUCCUGGGAAGCAGGAGUGGGAAGGUCAGUCAGAAUCUAGACUAACUCAAGGUGAGCAUGUAGCCCACUCCGAAAGACUCCAGGCUUUCAAGCACGGUUGUCCUUGGAUCCUCUAUAGUGGUCACCUUCUUGCAUCAGCAGUAUUGGGUGCUGACCCCAACACUGUCCCUGCUGCAGUGCUCACACUGCUGUCCUUCAUCAGCAUCACCAGUCACAGCUCAGUGACACUGAGAAACCUCCUGCAUUUUUGGAGCUCUUGAUGCUAAACAAGAGUUGGAAAUGAUCCAGGUUAUCUCACCUGCUGGGUAGCGUGUCUUCUGGAGCGGGGCAUCGAGCAGUGUGCUGACAUUCAACACCGAAAAUGUCUGGAAAGGCUGAAAUGUGGGCAUGGGAAGGAAAGGUUUGCUUUGCCCCGGUGUCCUUUCCAAGGCAGGCUUGGCUCCUUCAUGAAGAACUCAUUAAAGGCCAUGGCACAAAUGGUGACAGGCCAUAUUGCAGCAGGAGGCCUUUGGCACCACAGCAGAAGUGGCUCUUGAAAUUGUCUGUUUCUAGGGAAUUUGAGUAACAUUCUUCUGUUAUGAAUGGAAGCUCUCGAGGAUCUUGGCAUGUGUCUGGGAGUUGUCAAAGAGCUUCUGUCCCACAUAUGUUCUUGCAGCACCGAGGAACUUAAGUGACACUUCUCACGUGGUCCCUCAUCCUCUCCCCAGGGCAAAGGAUGUGCAGUGGAGUGUCUCACAGGCUUCUGACGUUCAGCUUGCUUUAAAUAUUGGUGGUACUGUGGGUAGGAGCUGGGGAAGGCAAGGCACAGGGACGUGUCUUGACGCAAACAAGGAUGAGGUUUGUAACUGUUUUCCUUCUGUCCCCUUGGAGUGACUGUGGUGCCUCCAUACUCCAGAUGUGCCUCAGGAGGAGAGUGAGGUGGGGAACACUGGACUCUGGGAGAGGCCUCUGCAGAGUGGAGAAUGGAUUUUUUGGGUUCCAUGCUGCUGGGAAGCCUCCUAAGUGCCUCUGCUGUGCACCCUAAAUGCUGAAGGGUUGGUGGCCAGGGUGGCUGUGUAUACCCAGAUGGUGACAAAUGCUGAAUGAAUGAGAGUGGGGCAGACCUGCCAUCCAGGGUGAUGAGAAGUGUAGGAGACUGGGCUGGAGGGGCUGCUGGGAAUCACUUGGUCCAUCCAUCUGCCAUGUAGCACCCUUUGCAGAUAGCCAUGGAGUGCUUCAACUUUUCUUUCUUAAUAUGGAUGUGUUUCCUACCUAGCACAAAAGGGCAGAGUGUUCUGAACUUUUUUGCAGUGGCCUUUGCAUGUUAUAAAACUAUGCCCUGUGACUUUUCUUGUCUAGACUAAUCUCAAUCUUCCAGACGUUUUUCCUGAGCUUUUUGAUGAUCUUGCCAGUCUCCCAUGGCCUCUCUCAGUUAGUCCAAAUCUUUUGGGGAAUGAACUGGUUCUCUGGACACCAGUAAAAUUACUUGAUAUAUCUUUAUGAGCUGCCAGGAUAGUAAUUACUUUGUGUGUAAGAUGGCCUUUCACAUAUCCUCCUGUAGUAAAGGAUAGUAAUUACUUUGUGCGUAAGAUGGCCUUUCACAUAUCCUCCUGUAGUUGCCU